rnacentral:rRNA from 1 species
AUUGAACGCUGGCGGCAGGCCUAACACAUGCAAGUCGAACGCGCGGCGGAGGGGUGAGUAAUGUCUGGGAAAAUGUCUGUUGGAGGGGGAUAACUACUGGAAAAGGUAUCUAAAACCGCGUACCAUCAGGUGUGCCCAGAUGGGAUUAGCUCGUGGGUGGGGUAAUGGCUCACCUAGGCGAGGAUCCCUAGCUGGUCUGAGAGGAUGACCAGCCACACUGGAACUGAGACACGGUCCAGACUCCUACGGGAGGCAGCAGUGGGGAAUAUUGCACAAUGGGCGCAAGCCUGAUGCAGCAAUGCCGCGUGAGUGAAGAAGGCCUUCGGGUUGUAAAGCACUUUCAGCGGGGAGGCGUUACCCGCAGAAGAAGCACCGGCUAACUCCGUGCCAGCAGCCGCGGUAAUUC